UGGACAUUGUCAAGGUGAGUCGUGUUAAACGCGCAUUUGUAUUUUCCAGAGAACUGAGGCGAACGAAAAACAUAAACAUGGACAACAACAACAAAAAUGAUAAAUGUAAAACCCUUGUAAAACAAAAAAUACUAAAUAACUUUGGUAUAACUCCUAGAGACCUCACCAAGAGAUUUGAGCCUUUUGGUGUAGUGGUUUUAGAAUGACCGAGACCAGGGUUUGAGUCCUGGUCAGGACUCUAAUGAACCACAUUGGUUUCAGCAGUUGGAUAGCACUAUUGACAGCAUGGGGCGGCAGGGUAGCCUAGUGGUUAGAGCGUUGGACUAGUAACCGGAAGGUUGCGAGUUCAAACCCCCGAGCUGACAAGGUACAAAUCUGUCGUUCUGCCCCUGAACAGGCAGUUAACCCACUGUCCCUAGACCAGUUAACCCACUGUCCCUAGACCAGUUAACCCACUGUCCUAGACCAGUUAACCCACUGUUCCUAGACCAGUUAACCCACUGUUCCUAGACCAGUUAACCCACUGUUCCUAGACCAGUUAACCCACUGUUCCUAGACCACUGUUCCUAGACCAGUUAACCCACUGUUCCUAGACCAGUUAACCCACUGUUCCUAGACCAGUUAACCCACUGUUCCUAGACCAGUUAACCCACUGUUCCUAGACCAGUUAACCCACUGUCCCUAGACCAGUUAACCCACUGUCCCUAGACUAGUUAACCCACUGUCCCUAGACUAGUUAACCCACUGUUCCUAGACUAGUUAACCCACUGUUCCUAGACCAGUUAACCCACUGUUCCUAGACCAGUUAACCCACUGUUCCUAGACCAGUUAACCCACUGUCCCUAGACCAGUUAACCCACUGUUCCUAGACCAGUUAACCCACUGUUCCUAGACCAGUUAACCCACUGUUCCUAGACCAGUUAACCCACUGUUCCUAGACCAGUUAACCCACUGUUCCUAGACCAGUUAACCCACUGUUCCUAGACCAGUUAACCCACUGUCCCUAGACCAGUUAACCCACUGUCCCUAGACCAGUUAACCCACUGUCCCUAGACCAGUUAACCCACUGUCCCUAGACCAGUUAACCCACUGUUCCUAGACCAGUUAACCCACUGUUCCUAGACCAGUUAACCCACUGUUCCUAGACCAGUUAACCCACUGUUCCUAGACCAGUUAACCCACUGUUCCUAGACCAGUUAACCCACUGUUCCUAGACCAGUUAACCCACUGUUCCUAGACUAGUUAACCCACUGUCCCUAGACCAGUUAACCCACUGUUCCUAGACUAGUUAACCCACUGUUCCUAGACUAACCCACUGUCCCUAGACCAGUUAACCCACUGUUCCUAGACCAGUUAACCCACUGUUCCUAGACCAGUUAACCCACUGUUCCUAGACCAGUUAACCCACUGUUCCUAGACCAGUUAACCCACUGUUCCUAGACCAGUUAACCCACUGUUCCUAGACCAGUUAACCCACUGUUCCUAGACCAGUUAACCCACUGUUCCUAGACCAGUUAACCCACUGUUCCUAGACCAGUUAACCCACUGUUCCUUGACCAGUUAACCCACUGUUCCUAGACCAGUUAACCCACUGUUCCUAGACCAGUUAACCCACUGUUCCUAGACCUGUUAACCCACUGUUCCUAGACCAGUUAACCCACUGUUCCUAGACCAGUUAACCCACUGUUCCUAGACCAGUAAAAAAUGUCCCAGCCAAGAUGGAGGGCAUCGUUCUGUCAUUCAUCAUAAUGGAUGUUCUAUGUAUAGCAUUCUAUUAAAGUCAUCAGGCCCUGUCUUUACUGUGUUGAUCUGCUUCAGCUUCUAUUCCAUUUUGAAUUCUACAUUUAACACAAUCUAGCAUGCACAAUCUAUUUAGACAGCUGACGCGAGCACACAUCACAUCAUUGUCUUCAGGAAAAUGUACUUCUCGAGUCAUAUUUUUCUUACAUUUUUUUUUAGAUGUGUUCACUGCAGGCUUGACUAGCAGGCUACUAGCAGGCUAUGUAGGCUAUUAAGUUGCAGAGUCUCAUUUUAAAUACAUGCCCAGAUCAACCUGAGGUUUUACAGCAACAUGAUCCGAAAAGGGAGGCUACUGAAAUAGUUUUCCUGUUACUGUUCGACUCACAAAAUAUAAUUUCAAUUCACAACAUUAACAAUGUCUACAACUGUAUUUCUGAUCAAUUUAAUGGGCAAAAAUGUAGCUUUUCUUUAAAAAACAAGGACAUUUCUAAGUGACCACAAACUUUUGAACGGUAGUGUGUGUGGGUGUUAGUCUGAUUCAGACUGUAGGUGUGUGUGUGUGUGUUUUAGUGUGAUUCAGACUGUAGGUGUGUGUUAGUGUGAUUCAGACUGUAGGUGUGUGUUAGUGUGAUUCAGACUGUAGGUGUGUGUGUUAGUGUGAUUCAGACUGUAGGUGUGUGUUUUAGUGUGAUUCAGACUGUAGGUGUGUGUGUGUGUUAGUGUGAUUCAGACUGUAGGUGUGUGUUUUAGUGUGAUUCAGACUGUAGGUGUGUGUGUGUGUGUUAGUGUGAUUCAGACUGUAGGUGUGUGUGUUAGUGUGAUUCAGACUGUAGGUGUGUGUUUUAGUGUGAUUCAGACUGUAGGUGUGUGUUUUAGUGUGAUUCAGACUGUAGGUGUGUGUGUUAGUGUGAUUCAGACUGUAGGUGUGUGUUUUAGUGUGAUUCAGACUGUAGGUGUGUGUGUGUGUUAGUGUGAUUCAGACUGUAGGUGUGUGUUUUAGUGUGAUUCAGACUGUAGGUGUGUGUGUUAGUGUGAUUCAGACUGUAGGUGUGUGUGUUAGUGUGAUUCAGACUGUAGGUGUGUGUUUUAGUGUGAUUCAGACUGUAGGUGUGUGUUUUAGUGUGAUUCAGACUGUAGGUGUGUGUGUUUUAGUGUGAUUCAGACUGUAGGUGUGUGUGUGUUAGUGUGAUUCAGACUGUAGGUGUGUGUGUUAGUGUGAUUCAGACUGUAGGUGUGUGUGUGUUUUAGUGUGAUUCAGACUGUAGGUGUGUGUGUUAGCGUGAUUCAGACUGUAGGUGUGUGUGUGUGUUAGUGUGAUUCAGACUGUAGGUGUGUGUGUGUUAGUGUGAUUCAGACUGUAGGUGUGUGUGUGUUAGUGUGAUUCAGACUGUAGGUGUGUGUGUGUGUUUUAGUGUGAUUCAGACUGUAGGUGUGUGUGUUAGCGUGAUUCAGACUGUAGGUGUGUGUGUGUGUGUGUUAGUGUGAUUCAGACUGUAGGUGUGUGUGUGUUAGUGUGAUUCAGACUGUAGGUGUGUGUGUUAGUGUGAUUCAGACUGUAGGUGUGUGUGUUAGCGUGAUUCAGACUGUAGGUGUGUGUGUGUUAGUGUGAUUCAGACUGUAGGUGUGUGUGUGUGUUAGUGUGAUUCAGACUGUAGGUG